CCAUAGGGAAGCUGGUAAAUAUAAAAUGCAUGUUAAAGUCAUUUGAUUAUUGAAGUUUCAAUCAAAAGAUCUAAGAUAUUUUUCUUAAAGCUCACUAUACAUGUGGCUCAACACUAUAUGGGCUGUGUGUUCUCAUGAGUGCUCUCUGAGGUGGGUGAGCGGAAGCAAAAAGGAGGUCCUGGAGACUGCACUGUCUUGGGCUGGUGCAGAAAAACCAGCCAACCAGUCUGAGUAGAGUUGUCUUGAGAUAAAACCAAAGAAGGGGAUUCACAGGAAAGGAGGAUGAUAGAUGGUUAGAAGUUCAUCUCACCUAGGAGCGUUGGAAGGUUUGAGCAGGGAAUCAACCUAGACAGAUCUGCCGUGUGAAGAUUAACUGUGAUACCAGCACGGAGAACCAAGGACAGCAAUGGUAUCGGCAACUGAUGGGCAAGAUAAUCCACUGUGGCACGGGAAUAAAAUUUUUAUAACAUCUCCUUUCUAUUUCCUAAUUUUCAUCCUUUGAAAAAUUUACUUUUAGACAUGACUUUUGUGUAUAUGUUUUAAAGGCAAAUAUAUUUUUAAUAUAUGAUAUUUAUGUGUAAAAAUUAACAUAAAAAGCAAAAUUUUUACUGAUAGGGGCACAUGAUCUGAAGUUUGGAACCUACUCACUGCAUUAGAAGGGGAUGACCAAAUGCAGAAUUCCAUCUGGAAGUUCUUUUUGUCAUUCAGGGUGAGCUAGUAGAAGCCUGGAUAUAAUAGUGGCUUAAGUGGAAACCAAAAGGAAAGAAUAUCAGGAACCUAUCAUACAGGAAGAAGAGGCAGGACUUAGUCAUCUGGAGACAUAAAGAGCAAGAGAAGAAGAGGCAAAGUUCUUCUUACUAGAGAAGAAGGAAGAGGCAAAGUUGGUGAAUCCUUGGCCAAGAGAAUGCUGGCACUACCAAAGAAAAUGAAGAAGGUCAGAAAGGAGGCCUGAUGGAGGGAAGGGUGAGCAGUUCUGCCUUGACUAAUGGGAUUUUAGGGUAAGGCAAGAGGAAACUGAGGGACUGGAGAUGUGAGGCCGGGGCUUGUAAGAGAGUCCCAGCUAAAGGUGGAAGAGCUCAGUGUGGAGAUGAGUGGAGACUGGGAUCCCCUAGAGAAGCGGGUGGGCAGCAAGGGGUUGGUCCAAAAGGAGAGGAUGUUCUCGUCCCCAACCAAAUUCAGUCAUAAGAAAGCCUACUGUCAGAAGCCAGCGAUCAUUUCACGUGGUCACAAGUUUACACACUCAUAGAACACCAGAGACCGAAUGGCCCUUCAAGACUACCUAGCUUAUGGUUGACUUGGUCUAAGUAAAUUUUUAAAAUCACAAUCUUAAUUGACCCCAAAUGUGUCAGUGAGGAUUCUUAGUUGCAAACAACAGAAUCCACUCUGGCUAAUUUAAACAGAAAACAGAUUUAUUAAAAGGAUAUCUAAAUUCUUAGAAAAUCUCAAGAAACAAAUUUGUGGCUGUGCUUCCAGGAACAGUGUUCAAAACCACAAUACGAUGGAUUAUUGUUUGGCAGAAGAAAGAAAUGUAGUACAGAUCCUGGCUAUGACAUCAACGAACCUUGGAAACUUCAUGCCAAGUGAGAGAAGCCAGUCACAAAGGACCACAUAUUAAAGGCUGAUGAGAAGAGGAUUAUUACUGCCACCACUACCAAUGCCAAAUACAAGAUGCCAAGAACUUAACUUUAGCACAGCCUCCACUUUCAGCAUUGCUGGUGCCAGACCUGCCUCAGGGACUCAGUCAGGCAAGCAUUGGCUCCCCUAAAGAUUUUGGACCUCUGUCACCAUUCACAUGAGUCUAUGUGAUGCCUAGGAAGAUUCCAUUGCUUCAGAAUGCUCACUUCCAAUGUGAAGUCCUGUUUGCAUGUAUCCAACUGAUGAAGCCAAUAAUACACUGUGACCUAACUGCCAGGUUCUCUGAAAAUUGGAUUUCUGAUCACUACACAGGGAAUCAGGAGAAUGUCCCAAAGAAAGACUAGUUGAAAGAUGGUGUGGAGGGAGGGAUGAAUAGGCAGAGCACAGAAUAUUUCUAGGGCAGUGAAACUACUCUGUAUAAUGAUGGCUACAUGUCUUUAUACAUUUGUCAAAAACCAUAAAAGGUACAACACUGAGACUGAACAUUUA